rnacentral:rRNA from 1 species
AUAAUCCAUGGAAACGUGGACUAAUACCGCAUAUUAGUCAAGUCGCAUGACUAGAUUAUGAAAGAUUUAUCGCUUAUGGAUGGACUCGCGUCAGAUUAGAUAGUUGGUGAGGUAACGGCUCACCAAGUCAACGAUCUGUAGCCGAACUGAGAGGUUGAUCGGCCGCAUUGGGACUGAGACACGGCCCAGACUCCUACGGGAGGCAGCAGUGGGGAAUAUUGCGCAAUGGGGGCAACCCUGACGCAGCAACGCCGCGUGCAGGAAGAAGGUCUUCGGAUUGUAAACUGUUGUCGCAAGGGAAGAAGACAGUGACGGUACCUUGUGAGAAAGUCACGGCUAACUACGUGCCAGCAGCCGCGGUAAUACGUAGGUGACAAGCGUUGUCCGGAUUUACUGGGUGUAAAGGGCGCGUAGGCGGACUGUCAAGUCAGUCGUGAAAUACCGGGGCUUAACCCCGGGGCUGCGAUUGAAACUGACAGCCUUGAGUAUCGGAGAGGAAAGCGGAAUUCCUAGUGUAGCGGUGAAAUGCGUAGAUAUUAGGAGGAACACCAGUGGCGAAGGCGGCUUUCUGGACGACAACUGACGCUGAGGCGCGAAAGUGUGGGGAGCAAACAGGAUUAGAUACCCUGGUAGUCCACACCGUAAAC